UACGUAGGGUGCAAGCGUUGUCCGGAAUUAUUGGGCGUAAAGAGCUCGUAGGCGGUUUGUCGCGUCUGCUGUGAAAACUCGGGGCUUAACCCCGGGCCUGCAGUGGGUACGGGCAGACUAGAGUGUGGUAGGGGAGACUGGAAUUCCUGGUGUAGCGGUGAAAUGCGUAGAUAUCAGGAGGAACACCGGUGGCGAAGGCGGCAUCCUGGACCGGCAUUGACGCUGAGGCGCGAAAGCCAGGGGAGCAAACGGG
rnacentral:rRNA from 1 species